UCCCUGCCUACCCUAGCAAGACAGGAACAAGACCUAACCUUUUUAGCUUUUGUCUUUUGAUUUCGAGAGCCGCUACAAAUGAAACCAAAAUUUGUGAUGUCGGUCGGAUUCGGCUGUUCAGCCAUGAUCCUACCGUCUAGCUGCGAUCGCAUGGUUGGAUUUGGUUGGAGUCGGCUGUUUGGCCGUUUGGACGCGAUCGCAUGACCGGAUUUGCUCCGAUUCAGUCGUUGGACCACGGUUGAAUACUUUUGUCUCCUCUGCAUCCGAUUCCGAUAUUCUUAAUCAGAUUGCUUCAAAAUUAUUUGAAUGACAUUGCAACGACAGUUGAACCAUGGUUUCAAGUAUGUUGACUGGAAAAUGAAGAUGGCUUCUGCCAGAGGAGGUGGCAUGACUGUUUUGGGGAAAGUUGCUGUUCCUAAACCAAUUAACUAAUCCAGCCAAAAAAAAUCAUGGGCUGGACCCGAAUGUGGAAAUUGUCCCCAAGGGUACACUUAGUUGGAGAAGUAUCCUAUUUAUGCCUGUGACUGCUCUUUAAGCAGCGUGAAGCUAUUUCAUGAGUGUCCUGCAUAGGAGGAAUCUGGUUACAUAGACAGACUUGUAACUUGCAUAAACAAAGCUAGUUGAUUUAAGUCAAUUGAUAGUUGUUUUCAUCAUGAGCAUCCGCAGAGUCUCUUCAUAUGGAUCUUCUUCUUCCUCUGGUUGGAAAUAUGAUGUGUUCCUAAGUUUUUGAGUGAAGACACCAGAAAGAAUUUCAGGGGUCAUCUCUAUUUUGCUUUGACUCAUCAAUUUGGAAUUGUUAACCAAAACCCUAAACCCACCAAUUGAUCUGCAUCAUAGAAAAUUGGAACCACAUUUUGUCCCAAUCUGUUCUUACAUUCAAUAAUCUUAACAAGUUCAUCCAAGCACCAAGGAGAAGAAGCAUAGUUUCUUGAGAAAACAACAAUUGAAAUUCUUGAUUUUUCAAUUGCAUCAAGGAGUUCUGGUGAAAUGGGUUUUCCUAUCUCGAGUGCUUUGACUCCUUUACGAGUCAAAGCAGAAUUUCAUUGGCCGUCUCUAUUCUGCUGUGACUUGUAAAGGAAUUAAUGUAUUUUGGGAUGACAAAGAACUUGAGAUAGGAAAACUCAUUUCAUCAGAACUCUUUGAUGCAAUUGAAAAAUCGAGAAUUCCAAUUGUUGUUUUCUUAAGAAACUAUGCUUCUUCUCCUUGGUGCUCGGAUGAACUUUUUAAGAUUAUUGAAUGUAUGAACACAUUGGGCCAGAAAGUGAUUCCAAUUUUCUAUGAUGUGGAUCAAUUGGUGGAAAGAAAACAGAUGGGUAACUUUGAGAAAGCAUUGGCUAAGCAUGAAAGAAACUGUGCUUCUUCUCCUUGAUGCUUGAAUUGAAGUGAUUAAUACCCCUCGAUGAGAUUUGCAGGAUAGGUAUGUAAAUUUCAUUUUUUUUUUCUUCAGUGUUUGUAUAAAAAUAUCUGGUGAUAAUUAUUUGAUUAACAGUUUUAAUUAUUGUGGUUUAUGA